AGUGAACGCUGGCGGUAGGCCUAACACAUGCAAGUCGAACGGCAGCACAGUAAGAGCUUGCUCUUACGGGUGGCGAGUGGCGGACGGGUGAGGAAUACAUCGGAAUCUACUUUUUCGUGGGGGAUAACGUAGGGAAACUUACGCUAAUACCGCAUACGACCUACGGGUGAAAGCAGGGGAUCUUCAGACCUUGCGCGAUUGAAUGAGCCGAUGUCGGAUUAGCUAGUUGGCGGGGUAAAGGCCCACCAAGGCGACGAUCCGUAGCUGGUCUGAGAGGAUGAUCAGCCACACUGGAACUGAGACACGGUCCAGACUCCUACGGGAGGCAGCAGUGGGGGAUAUUGGACAAUGGGCGCAAGCCUGAUCCAGCCAUACCGCGUGGGUGAAGAAGGCCUUCGGGUUGUAAAGCCCUUUUGUUGGGAAAGAAAAGCAGCAGGUUAAUACCCCGCUGUUCUGACGGUACCCAAAGAAUAAGCACCGGCUAACUUCGUG
rnacentral:rRNA from 1 species